rnacentral:rRNA from 1 species
GUCUGCGUGGAGCCGACCUUGAAAUACCACCCUUUAAUGUUUGAUGUUCUAACGUGGACCCGUGAUCCGGGUUGCGGACAGUGUCUGGUGGGUAGUUUGACUGGGGCGGUCUCCUCCUAAAGAGUAACGGAGGAGCACGAAGGUUGGCUAAUCCUGGUCGGACAUCAGGAGGUUAGUGCAAUGGCAUAAGCCAGCUUGACUGCGAGCGUGACGGCGCGAGCAGGUGCGAAAGCAGGUCAUAGUGAUCCGGUGGUUCUGAAUGGAAGGGCCAUCGCUCAACGGAUAAAAGGUACUCCGGGGAUAACAGGCUGAUACCGCCCAAGAGUUCAUAUCGACGGCGGUGUUUGGCACCUCGAUGUCGGCUCAUCACAUCCUGGGGCUGAAGUAGGUCCCAAGGGUAUGGCUGUUCGCCAUUUAAAGUGGUACGCGAGCUGGGUUUAGAACGUCGUGAGACAGUUCGGUCCCUAUCUGCCGUGGGCGCUGGAGAACUGAGGGGGGCUGCUCCUAGUACGAGAGGACCGGAGUGGACGCAUCACUGGUGUUCGGGUUGUCAUGCCAAUGGCACUGCCCGGUAGCUAAAUGCGGAAGAGAUAAGUGCUGAAAGCAUCUAAGCACGAAACUUGCCCCGAG